GACGAACGCUGGCGGCGUGCUUAACACAUGCAAGUCGAGCGAUGAAGCACCUUCGGGUGUGAAUUAGCGGCGAACGGGUGAGGAACACGUGAGAAAUCUGCCUUCAACUCUGGGAUAACUCCGUGAAAACGGGGCUAACACCGGAUAUGAAACCUGCGGGCAUCCGCGGGUUUGGAAAGUUUUUCGGUUGAAGAUGAUCUCGCGGCCUAUCAGCUUGUUGGUGUGGUAAUGGCUCACCAAGGCGACGACGGGUAGCCGGCCUGAGAGGGCGACCGGCCACACUGGGACUGAGACACGGCCCAGACUCCUACGGGAGGCAGCAGUGGGGAAUAUUGGGCAAUGGAGGAAACUCUGACCCAGCGACGCCGCGUGCGGGAUGAAGGCCUUCGGGUUGUAAACCGCUUUCAGCAGGGAAGAAGCGAAAGUGACGGUACCUGCAGAAGAAGCACCGGCUAACUAUGUGCCAGCCGCCGCCGUAA
rnacentral:rRNA from 1 species